UACGUAGGGGGCGAGCGUUGUCCGGAUUUAUUGGGCGUAAGGAGCUCGUAGGCGGUUCGGGAAGUCGGAUGUGAAAUCUCCACGCUCAACGUGGAGGGGCCAUUCGAUACUGCCGUGACUCGAGUCCGGUAGGGGAGUGUGGAAUUCCCGGUGUAGCGGUGAAAUGCGCAGAGAUCGGGAGGAACACCCGUAGCGAAGGCGUCACUCUGGGCCGGUACUGACGCUGAGGAGCGAAAGCGUGGGGAGCGAACAGG
rnacentral:rRNA from 1 species